rnacentral:lncRNA from 1 species
GCCGGAUCCCCGGUGUCUGGGGAGCGGCUGCGGCCCGGGCCCGCGCGAGCCACUUCGCUCCUACAAGCCCGGCUCACUAGUUCCAAGCUGCUGGACUUUGACCCUCGCUGGGAAGCUUGAUCGCCGCCUGUUCUCGCCAAUCUCUGCCUUUGCACUGCCCAGCAACCCGGUCACUGCCCAGGACCUGUUAAAAGUUGAAUGGACCUCCCAGAAUCACGCCGCUGCCACCGCCGUUUCUAGAGACGGCUUUUGGCCACCUUUGAGAAUCAGGGUCAAACUUGGAAGGGCCUGCAUUUGUCACACCUCCUCGGACACUAAUUUGGAUAGUUCAGGCCCAGAGACAGCUUCCCGGGUUAGUGUGCCUGACAACACUGAAGAAAAAUUGUGACAUUUUCCUUCCCCAAAAUUACUUCGUUUUAUACAUUUCACUUCUCUUCUGAAAUUACAGCAAUGUCAGUUUGCGCCUUUUGGUCUGAGGAACGCAGGCCCUGGCCACUACCAGGAAAAAAUCCUUUGCACAUGGCCUGCUAUCAACAAUCUUCUACAAUGAUUCUCAGCAUCACCUGGGGAGCUUAUGCAAAAUCUCAAAUUCCUGGGCCCUAUCCCCAGAGUUUCUUAUCGAUUUCCUUGAUGGAGAACUAUCAAAGCAGUCAAAGCUAUCAAAAUAAAAAAGAAUUCUGAUUGGGUGCAGUGGCUCACACCUGUCAUUCCAGCACUUUGACAGGCCAAGGUGGGCAGAUCACAUGAGGCCAGGAGUUCAAGACCAGCCUGGCCAACAUGGCAGAAACCCCAUCUCUACUAAAAAUACCAAAAUUAGCCGGGCAUGGUGGAACACACCUGCAAUCCCAGCUACUCGGGAGGCUGAAGCAAGAGAAUCGCUUGAAC